rnacentral:sRNA from 1 species
AUCCUGGGGCUGUGUCCCCACAGGGGCCUGCGGGGAGGCUCUGUCUCACCUCACGUCGGUUCUCCCCUCCCAGGGUUUCUGGACAAAAACAAUGACCUUCUCUUCCGGAACCUUAAGGAGACCAUGUGUAGCUCGAAGAAUCCCAUUAUGAGCCAGUGCUUCGACCGGAGCGAGCUCAGUGACAAGAAGCGGCCAGAGACGGUCGCCACCCAGUUCAAGAUGAGCCUCCUGCAGCUGGUGGAGAUCCUGCAGUCUAAGGAGCCCGCCUACGUCCGCUGCAUCAAGCCUAAUGAUGCCAAACAGCCCGGCCGCUUUGACGAGGUGCUGAUCCGCCACCAGGUGAAGUACCUGGGGCUGAUGGAAAACCUGCGCGUGCGCAGAGCCGGCUUUGCCUAUCGCCGCAAAUACGAAGCUUUCCUGCAAAGGUACAAGUCACUGUGCCCAGAGACGUGGCCCACGUGGGCAGGACGGCCGCAGGAUGGGGUGGCUGUGCUGGUCCGACACCUGGGCUACAAGCCAGAAGAGUACAAGAUGGGCAGGUGGGUAGUGUCCGUGCCGGGUGCCUGCGGGGAAUGGGAGUGGCAACCCCGGGCUGAUCACUGCUGCUCUCCCAGGACCAAGAUCUUCA